UUGGGGAUGAUACUAUUUCAACUAUAGUUGUUAAUUAUUAAGCGAUACGAGGAAACUGCUUGGAAAUCGGAUUACAAGUUAAUGGAGAAAUAUUUUAUUCGAAUGAUAUAAGCAAAUUUCGGGACGAAAUUUUUGUUAAGAUGGGUAGAUUGUAAUACCCCGACUUUUUUUUCUAUCUUUUUAGUUGUUCUUGAAGGGACGUCGUUUGUGUAGCCGAAAAAAAAAAUUUCCUUCAAUUCUUUUAGAUGUUGAUGGAAUAGCCAGUGUUUUUUUUUUUUUGAAUUUGGGCUAGGAUCUUUUUCUUUAGUUGUAUGAAGCCCAAUUGUUCAAAUUAAAUGAAGUCAUUUGUGAAGCCCAAAACCAAUUCUUCCUAAUUCUAUUUUGCAGCCCAAUUUUACUUCAAAUCUUUUCACCUCCCAACAUCACACGGUUCACCAACAUCCCUACAUCCCUGAAAAAUCUCCAACCAAAAUAUGUCAUCUCCGUAUAUUUGCUUCAACUGCACAAUGCAGUUUCCUCAUUCCUCCAAAACAAAAGAAAAAAGAAGAGGCACACUGUGAAUUCAACAUCCAUUCUGCCGUAUUUUCUUUCUUCCACAAAGUUGAGAAGAAAUAGUUAGAGUAAGAGAGCCGAGAGUCCUUCAAAUUGUUUUCCUGCAACUCUUUGCAAUAAAGGGUGAACUUUUGCACGCCAUUUGAGGUUGGGACAUAAAGUUUGUUGAGGAGCUAAGCUUGCGAGGUUGAGCUGUGACUAGCGCGGUGGGUGUUGAGCAGAGCUGUUGAAGAUUUGCCUUUGUUUUAAAUUUCCGAAUAUAUUGUGUCUUCAUACAUAAUAUUAUUCUUCUCUCGAAUGCUUCCGCUAAAUAUUGUUUCGUUUGAGUUCGUGUAUUGUUGAGAUAUUUUCAGUUGGAGUUGUUGAUUGUUGCAAUGA